GUCAUAAGCGAAAUGAGCCAAUACAAAAUACACGGUUACAGAAGUAGAGGGUGAUUUCGAGAAGCAGCUGUCCCACUUCGCACAGACUGAGGACAGACAAGCCGAUCCACAGACCGAUUGUUCCUCCGAUAUCAGACAGGAACUGGGAUAACUGAAAACACAAAUAACACCUACAAGAGCAGUGUAUUUUAUAGAUUCAGUUAUUACCAAACCAAACGUGAAGACACUGAGCGUGUGUUGCACAAUUUAACGUGUAGGACUAUAUACUGUUUGGGUUUUACAGUUAUCCUUACUGUGAGGACAUGUUAAUAGCUGUUUGGGUUUUACAGUUAUCCUUACUGUGAGGACAUGUUAAUAGCUGCUUGGAACGCAGUACAUGUACUCUUAAUGGGACGUAGCAGGCGGACUGGCUUUGACGCACCGUCGCAAUCUGGAGUGGAGAUGGUGGCUGAAGUGGAACUCGACUUCGUGACCAAGGCAAACUCCUCUGUAUUCAUCCGGACUACAGGUCGGACCUUCUCAAGUCUCCGAUUCUGGACUUACAUAUUCAUGUGACAGAGUUUUACCCUUAUUCCAAGGUGUAUGUCCCUUCUUGAACUGUGUCUUUUGUCUUGUAUUGCCUUCCAUGGAUGUGCAUAACUUGUUGUGUAUAAAACAGUGAAAUACUUAUUGUGGUAUGCAUGUCCUCAUAUAUAUAUAUCAGACCAUGUGUGAUGUCACCUUCAUUUCUGAUACAUUAAAACAUUUCAAUGCAGUGGCAGUUGACAGCUUUUUUGUUCACUGUAUAUUCUCAACUGCAUCUUUGCAGGCUGGUGCCAUUUUCUUUGCAUUCAGGUGUGACCUGUUACGGGGUACAGACACCUUGCCAAUUACCCUCACCAGAAUGAC